AUUGAACGCUGGCGGCAUGCCUUACACAUGCAAGUCGAACGGCAGCACGGGUGCUUGCACCUGGUGGCGAGUGGCGAACGGGUGAGUAAUACAUCGGAACAUGUCCUGUAGUGGGGGAUAGCCCGGCGAAAGCCGGAUUAAUACCGCAUACGAUCUACGGAUGAAAGCGGGGGCCCUUCGGGCCUCGCGCUAUAGGGUUGGCCGAUGGCUGAUUAGCUAGUUGGUGGGGUAAAGGCCAACCAAGGCGACGAUCAGUAUCGGGUCUGAGAGGACGACCAGCCACACUGGGACUGAGACACGGCCCAGACUCCUACGGGAGGCAGCAGUGGGGAAUUUUGGACAAUGGGCGAAAGCCUGAUCCAGCAAUGCCGCGUGUGUGAAGAAGGCCUUCGGGUUGUAAAGCACUUUUGUCCGGAAAGAAAUCCUUGGCCCUAAUACGGUCGGGGGAUGACGGUACCGGAAGAAUAAGCACCGGCUAACUACGUG
rnacentral:rRNA from 1 species